AGGCAGCAUUGAGGAAUAUUGGCCAAUGGGGGAAAAUGGGACCCAGCCAUGCCGCUUGCAGGAAAACGCCCCUAUGGGUUGAAAAACGGUUUUGGUAGGGGCCAAUAAGGUUUACGCGUAGACAAAUGACAGUACCCAGCGAAUAAGCAUCGGCUAACUCCGUGCCAGCAGCCGCGGUAAUACGGAGGAUGCGAGCGUUAUCC
rnacentral:rRNA from 1 species